rnacentral:hammerhead_ribozyme from 1 species
AUGUACCUAACGAGUCCCAAAUAGGACGAAAUGCGCGUCCUGGAU